CCUACGGGAGGCAGCAGUAGGGAAUCUUCCGCAAUGGACGAAAGUCUGACGGAGCAACGCCGCGUGAGUGAAGAAGGUUUUCGGAUCGUAAAACUCUGUUGUCAGAGAAGAACAAGUCGGAGAGUAACUGCUCCGGCCUUGACGGUAUCUGACCAGAAAGCCACGGCUAACUACGUGCCAGCAGCCGCGGUAAUACGUAGGUGGCAAGCGUUGUCCGGAUUUAUUGGGCGUAAAGCGAGCGCAGGCGGUUCCUUAAGUCUGAUGUGAAAGCCCACGGCUCAACCGUGGAAGGUCAUUGGAAACUGGGGAACUUGAGUGCAGAAGAGGAGAGUGGAAUUCCAUGUGUAGCGGUGAAAUGCGUAGAUAUAUGGAGGAACACCAGUGGCGAAGGCGACUCUCUGGUCUGUAACUGACGCUGAGGCUCGAAAGCGUGGGGAGCAAACAGGAUUAGAUACCCUGGUAGUCCACGCCGUAAACGAUGAGUGCUAAGUGUUGGAGGGUUUUCCACCCUUCAGUUGCUGCAGCUACGACAUUAAGACACCUCCGCCGUCGGGGAGGGUACCGGGCCCGGCCGACGGCGUAGAAACGUACGAAAGUAGUAGUUAGGACGGCGUUGAGACGCGACCGACGGACGACGACGGAGGGAGGUUAGG
rnacentral:rRNA from 1 species